CCUGUACAAAAAGUCAUAAGGUACAGAGCAUAAAAAGUAACAGUAUAUUAAUAGGUUGUAUUAAAAAGUUCAUAAAUAAAGAGUUCAUAAUAGUUAAGAAUGGUUUAAAAUGUGUGUUGGUUAAAAAGCAUAAAUAUAUGUACAGUUAAUAAAUAAGACUAUUUACAGUUAAAAGAUACAUUCAUAUAAAGGUCUUUAAGUUCAUUUUGAUUGUAAAAUAUCUGUGAUCAGAGAUAAAAGAGAAUAAGAAGCCGUGUUUGUGUAACCUAACCUGUCACUUGUUAUGUCAAUCAUUUCAUUCCUGUUUUACCUUUGGUUAUUUGGGAUCUCACGAGCCAAUUGGAGUCGCUGUGUAAGGGGCGGGACUAGUGGCACAGGUUAGUGUGGGGAGUAGUGCGCACAUGGAAAAGAGAGACGCUAUCGAUCAGAGCUAAAGAGAGGAGGCAUCGUUCGUGUGGGAAGCAUUUAAGUUUAAUCCUGGAGGUCGACUACCCGUGGUCCUGAUAUAAACUUCUGUGUGACCUGCAAGAGGUGAAUAUAAUGUGUAUGCCUGUAUUUUGUGCUAUAUCUAACUGUUAUAGUGAAUAGAGACUGAAUGUAAUGAGUUUAGCGACAUGCUAACUAGCGGUAGCAUUCGGUGCUAAUGUGCCUGCAUAUCGUAGCUUUUGCAUUGUGAUAUUUCUGAAGCUAAAGCUAAGGCUAAUUCGACAUGAAAUAGCAUUGGAUAUUGUGGCUCAAUUCAGAUAUUAUGCUUUAGGGAGACGGACGUUGGAGAGAGAGAGAGAGAGACGGAUUUCCAACCGAUGACCCUGCUGUACUCUGCUGUACUCUGCUGUACUGUGCUGUACUCUGCUGUACUGUGCUGUACGAUACUGUCGUGCUAUUCUGCGUUUGGAUGCGUCGGGCCGAGCCCUGCUGCUGCUGUAUCUUUUCUUGUGACUUCGCCAUUGCCUCGUGUGUGAUCGGAUUCCCACCCGCCAUUUUCAUUAUCACCGUGAGACUUUUUCAUCCACAUUCUGCCCUACUAACAAACCCCUGGAUUCGUGAGUACUAACAUACACAUGCACGUGCUUUUAUUUUGUGCUCAGCUUUGAGUGAAGCGGCCAUUACAGUUUUUAGGCCACACCGCACACGAGCUUCAAUAAACAGGCCUGCAACGGGUUAAAAGCUCUUUUAAGUGGGUUUCAUCUGAAUGUGUGUGGGCCCACAGGUAAAAUAUUGAGUUUGCGUUGUUGUGAAAUAAAGAAUACGGUUUUGAAGGUAACUUAAAGAGUAUAAAAAAAGUUUAUUUUAAGUUAAAGGGAAAGUGUUAAACCAAAAGAAAGAAAUUGCAACUUUAUUUUGAAAACCUUUAUUAACUCUGUGAAUUGUGCAUUUCAUUUGUUUUAUUUUAUUCUUUAAAAUCAUUCAGCUAUUAUUCUGUCUAUAUUAAUAAAUACCUGUAAAAGGAUUAUUUUUGCAUUUAAAGUACAGUUGUGGUGGUCAUUAUUUUAAAAGUAGUAAACAUUAUUAGAGGUAUACAUUCUAAAAGUAACAUAAAACAGUUGUAUUUUCCUACAACGAGCCCAGGCCCAGUCUCAUAGUAUUAACCACUCUAGCUUUAUUUUAACUACAUGGGACCUGGGUUACAUAAAAUGGAGGCACCGCUGGGAUUUUUUUUUACACAAACUGAGAUUUCUUGAAAUAAAUUAGACAAAAGUAACUUGACCCCACAACUUUAGUGUAUUAGUAUAAAAGUAACGUGCUAACACUAACUAACAGUGAUUAAAAUAAAGUACAGCAAUGGCAGUCCCGACAAGCAACCCAUCACAGCGUGAGCUAAUUAACUGGUGCAAAGGAGAAGCAGUAGACUUAAAGCAUGCUCUCUUGUUAUAUGGAGUGCCUGAAAGUGCAUCAAGAGCCGACAUUGAAGAUACAGCAGGGACCAUCAAAGCAUUGGGAAAAGUUGCAGUUAGAGGCAGAAUGUUUCACCCUCAACAAAAGUCGCUGAUGGUGUUAUGUGAGUGUCGUGAAGAGAUCGACCCCUCUAAAAUUCCACCUGAGCUAAUGCCUGUAAGUGGAGGAAGUGGUUGGAAAACUGUCUGCUACCAAGAGCCUCGGAUUGACAACUUUGAAGAGAAGUUGCUGACCUUUUUGCAGAGUGAAGGGAGAACCUUAGAGGACAUCCAAGGUCUAUGCCCUCCUACAGAGACCAAAGAGAGUAACAGCAACCCUGAAGACAUCAUCCGUGCAGUCGGUGAUGUCCUGAGUAGAACAAACAAGCAACCUGAUAGUCAGCCAUACAGACGUCUACGGACAUUCUCCGGGAUCAGUCCCACUCCCGCUGGAGAAGAGACCCUAGACAACUGGCUGGAGCAAGCAACACUCCUAGUAGAGGAAGGUGAUUGCUCAGACAAAGAGAAACGACGUCGGAUACUGGAAAGUCUCAAAGGGCCCGCCUUUGAAAUCAUUCAAGCUGUCCGCCUGACUCAACCUGAUGCUAGCCCACAUGAGUACAUGAAGGCUAUAGAGAGCAUUUUUGGUACAGUAGAGUCCCCAGAAGAACUAUACCUGUCAUUUAGAGCCCUGCACCAACAGCCUGGUGAACGUCUGUCCGAGUUCCUACGAAGAGUAGAGAGAUCCCUUGUCAAAGUAGUACAAGGAGGCGGUUUAUCUGUUAGCGCUGCCAACAGUGCUCGUUUAGAGCAGCUUCUCAGAGGGUCCACCUCUGAACUCAUGUUGCUGCAGUUGAAGAUUAGGGAGCGGAGUGGUAAUCCCCCUACAUUCUUGAACCUGUUAAGAGAAGUGAUCGAAGAGGAAGGUCGCCAGUCAGCUAGACAAAGUCAAGUGUCACACCGUCCCCAACGUGUACGCACCGUCCAAGCUGAAAAGGAGAAAGAACCUGAAUCGGUCUCUAGAAGUGAACUGCAAGCUCAGAUUCAAGAACUGAGAGCGCAGUUAGAACAGAGAAGCAACCUACAGCCUCAGUCACCACCUGAUGAGUCCUGUAAACGUCCUAAAGAGAAACAGAAACCGGAAAACGAGUCACAGAGUGAACUGCAAUCACUGCGAAAACAAGUGAAAGCCCUAGAGAGUAAAAUAAGUGUAAUGACAGUAAAAUACACAUCAGACCCCCCAAGAGAACACACAACCCAGCCCCACCGAUACAAAGCAGCUACGAGUCACAAGCCCACUCAGUCCAGAGUCUUCUCUCCCCGACAAGACAGUGAUGAGUUUUUCUGUUAUCGGUGUGGGGAAAAUGGCCACAUAGCCACCAGAUGUACAGCCCCUGAGAAUCUUCAAAAAGUCAUCAGAAAACUCAUACGCUUGGUGCGAGUUUCCCCUCUCCCCAGCAAAGAGAACCCAAAGCCUACAGGUGAAGAGCCGUAUGUAGCUAGAACCAAUAAGGUUGAAGUCCCAGAGAUCAACACUGACUUACCUGAAGGUCUUGUAGGUCCCUCAUUUAUUCACACCAUCAAAGUUAAUGAAGUGGUCUGUGAUGCCCUCAUCGACAGUGGUUCCAAUGUGACUAUCAUCUUUGAAAGCUGGUACCACCAACACUUACCUGAUGUCCCGAUAAAACCUCUUUCUGGCCUUGGACUAUGGGGCCUCGCUGACGCAGAGUAUCCUUACAAAGGAUACGUUGUUGUUGAGAUGGAGUUUGCAGAGGAGAUCACUGGAGUGUCGGGACAAGUAGAAGUGCUAGCCUUAAUUUGUCCUGAGCCAAGAAACCAACAACAGACCCCUGUGCUGGUUGGAACCAACACAUCUUUGUUCCGCCGCCUAUGGGAACUGGUGAAGACAAAAAGUGACAAGAACACUGUGCACUCAAUGAGGAUUCAGUCUGUUUAUGCCCCUGUUACAGCACAAGAGCAGUUAACAAAAAAUGACGUCUUGGGACAGAUAAAGUGGAAAGGACCCGGUUCACUCUCCAUUGCUCCAGGUGCAAAGUAUUAUGCAAAGUGCAAAGUGGAAAGACAGAGUGCCCCGUCCAAAGACCUUGUACUGAUUGAUGCACCCACUGCCCAGUUACUCCCCGCCGGUCUGCUGGUACAGCCUGGUGUGCUCUCAGACACCGACAUAGAUGACAACCGUUUCACUGUUCUCAUUCAGAAUGAGUCCAAAAAGACGACUUCCAUCCCAGUUGGGACCGUCGUAGCUGAGAUGUAUGCUGUGGACACAGUUACCCCCCUCCAGCCUUCUGAUCACACAGCUGAAACCAUAGACCCAAGUCUCUUCAGUUUCGGAGACUCCCCCAUUCCCGAAGAGUGGAAGAAACGUCUUCAGCAGAGGUUGGCUGAAAGGCGGAAUGUUUUCUCACUGCAUGAGUGGGAUGUUGGUCGCGCCCAGGGUGUUGAACACCACAUACGCCUGCAUGAUCCCAGACCCUUCAGGGAAAGGUCAAGGAGACUAGCCCCUGCAGACAUUGACGACGUGCGGCGGCACAUACAACAACUACUGGCCGCUGGCAUUAUCACCGAGUCUCGUAGCCCCUACGCCUCACCGAUCGUCGUAGUCCGCAAAAAGAACGGAAGCAUCAGAAUCUGUAUCGAUUACAGAACACUGAACAACCGCACUACACCAGAUCAGUACACAAUGCCACGCAUUGACGACGCCUUGGAUUCCCUAUCAGGCAGCCAAUGGUUCUCGGUUCUAGAUUUGCGCAGUGGCUAUUAUCAGAUAGAGAUGGCUCCGGAGGACAAAGAGAAAACCGCAUUCAUUUGCCCUCUCGGUUUCUUUCAAUUUGAGCGCAUGCCACAAGGAAUCACAGGAGCGCCUGCAACGUUUCAACGCUUAAUGGAAAAAGCUGUUGGCGAUAUGCAUCUCCUGGAAGCCCUCGUGUACUUGGAUGAUAUCAUCAUCUUCGGCAAGACACUUGAAGAGCAUGAGCAACGUCUUUUCAAAGUACUGGAUCGACUAGAGGAGGUCGGUUUGAAGAUUUCUAUUGACAAAUGUCAAUUCUGCCAGCCUGAAGUUAAGUAUGUGGGUCACAUCGUUUCCACCAAUGGAAUAGCUACUGAUCCAGACAAAGUGGAGGUAGUCAAGCAUUGGAAAGAGCCCACUCACCUGAAACCGCUGAAGUCCUUCCUUGGAUUCUGCAGUUAUUAUAGAAGAUUUAUUGCUAAUUAUUCUGCCAUUGUACGUCCUCUCUCCGAACUCACCAAGGGUUACGCCCCCACGUGGAAAGACCCCAAGUUCAAAAAGAGUGUCGACCCAAGCAAAGUCUACUUCAAGCCAUCAGACCCCUUCGGAGAGCGGUGGACUCAAGCCUGCCAGGACGCUUUUGAGCGUAUCCGUGACUGUCUGAUCAAUGCUCCAGUGUUAGCCUUCGCUGACCCCAUGAAGGAGUACAUUUUACAUGUGGACGCCAGUAUGAACGGCCUAGGCGCUGUCCUGAACCAGGAAUAUCCUGAUGGCCUCAGACCAGUAGCCUUCGCCAGUCGGAAGCUUAAAGACUCAGAACACAACUAUCCAGUCCAUCAAUUGGAAUUUCUGGCAUUAAAAUGGGCUGUAGUGGACAAAUUCCACGAUUACUUGUAUGGAGCCAAGUUUAUUGUUAGAACUGACAACAACCCGUUAACAUAUGUGUUAACCUCCGCCAAACUCAGCGCUGUUGGACAUCGUUGGCUCGCCGCCCUUGCCACUUAUGACUUCUCCAUCCAGUAUCGACCCGGCAGGCACAAUAUCGAUGCUGACUUGUUGUCACGCCAAUACACUCCAGAGGAGGAUAAAGAGUGGACUAGUGUUCCACCUGCUGGCAUCAAAGCCCUCUGCAAAAGAGUCUGCAUCAGUGAAGAGGCUAAUGAGCCAGACAGGUUAGUGGAUCAGCUGGGAGCUCCUGCUGCAGCGGUACCGGAAGCUUACGUGUUCCCAGUAAAUCUUAGCGUGAACGUGCUGGACCAACUAAGUCCUAAAGAUAUUCAGGUAGCACAAGACAUGGACCCAACAAUUGGACCAGUAAAGAAAGCAAUGGAAAAGAAUAAAGGACUGACUCGCUCAAAAAAUGACUCACCGGAGACUGUGUUGCUCCUACGCGAAAGCCGCAAAUUGGAGUUAAAUGAUGGAUUACUCUACAGAGUAAAGGAAAAAACAUGUGGAAAACAGAUCAAACAACUUGUCUUACCAGCAAGAUAUAGGCCAAUGGUGUUAAGGUCGCUACAUGAUGAGUGCGGACACAUGGGAAUGGAACGCACCACUGAACUGAUCAAGGACAGAUUUUAUUGGCCGCGGAUGACAGCUGAGGUCGAGCAGUACAUUCGAACCUGUGGUAGAUGUAUCUCCAGGAAGACACUCCCUCAGCAUGCUUCGCCCUUGAACCAGAUAACAAGUAAUGGCCCUUUAGAUUUAGUAUGUAUUGACUUCUUGCAGAUAGAGCCUGAUUCUAGAGGUGUUGCUAAUGUGUUAGUAGUGACAGACCAUUAUACACGUUAUGCACAAGCAUUCGCUACAAAAGAUCAAAAGGCUCUCACAGUGGCAAGAGUAUUGUGGGACAAAUAUUUUGUGCACUAUGGUUUACCUGCACGGAUACACUCGGAUCAAGGCCGAGACUUCGAAAGUCGUUUAAUCAAAGAACUCUUGUCCAUGCUUGGUGUACGGAAGUCAAGAACAUCCCCCUACCACCCUCAAGGGGACGCACAACCAGAGAGGUUCAAUCGAACACUCUUAGCGAUGCUUGGUACCCUGGACACUGUAAAGAAACAAUGUUGGAGUCAACAUAUCACCUAUCUGGUACAUGCAUACAAUUGCACAAAAAACGAUUCCACGGGAUACUCACCGUAUCAACUCAUGUUCGGAAGAGACGCCAGAUUACCCAUUGACAUCUGUUUUGGAAUCUCUCCAAAUGGUGAAAGUGAAACCUCCUACCAACAGUACGUCACUCGGAUGAGGAAAGACUUGCAAAAAGCUUACCAGUUAGCAUCUGAUGCUGCUUUAAAGAGUCACCUGAAAAACAAAGCACGUUUUGACCACCGUGUGAGAGACUUACCUUUGGAGAAAGGAGACAGAGUUCUCAUUCAGAAUGUUGGUCUAAAAGGCAAGCAUAAACUCCAAGAUCGAUGGAAAUCAACACCCUAUGUUGUUGUGGAGAAGUUGCCUAACCUGCCAGUUUAUAAGGUCAAACCAGAGCAUGGUACAGGUGUAUUGAAAACUCUUCAUCGAGAUCACCUGUUGCCUAUUGGUUACAUGGUCAGGAUGUCUAACCCAUCAGAUGACACAAACUCUGUUCAGAGACCUGUAACAAGAGCUCAACUUACCCGGAAACGUCAAACAAACAAGUCUGAAGAAAGUGCCUCAGAAUCAUCAGACUCAGAGUUUGAAACUGUACACAAUCCUCCAGAUAUUGAUGUAAAUGAAAUCAGGAGACAAUUGGAUGUGAGGAAUCAACGAUCUGUGGAGAAUGAAGAGAGUGAAAGUUCUGAAGAGAGUGAAAACUCAGAAGAGGAUGAAAAAUCUGAAGAGGAAAGCUGUGAAGAUACAGAAAAUCAACAACGUACAGAAACAGAGUAUGAGGAACCGCCUGAAGGUGAUGCACCUCCUUUGUCAGAUACUGAUGUCCAAGAGACAAACACUGAAUCUGUGGAAGAAGAUUCACAAGAAUCAGAAGAGGGAGAAAGUUCACCUCCAUCAAACAGAACCAGACAUGACAAAGCUGCUAAAAGCACUAGAAGUGAAAGUGACAGGUCUUCUACAGUCCGAAAAUCACUGAGAAAACCCAAGCCAUCUGUGAGAUUCACUUAUGAAAAACCUGGUCAGCCAUCUUGUGAACCAGUUACCAUCAUGCACCAUGGCAUGGUCAUUCAACUUAAGUUGAACCCUCCAGACAAAGAACACAGGAAAAAGUCCAAAACAUCCAAAAGGUACAUGGAUGAGGAGAAAAGGAAUCACCCUUCAAAGUUGAAGAGAGACAAGAGGUGUGAUGAGGACAUCUACACAUUCAGAAGAGGGAGGGUGUAGCCCUGUACAAAAAGUCAUAAGGUACAGAGCAUAAAAAGUAACAGUAUAUUAAUAGGUUGUAUUAAAAAGUUCAUAAAUAAAGAGUUCAUAAUAGUUAAAAAUGGUUUAAAAUGUGUGUUGGUUAAAAAGCAUAAAUAUAUGUACAGUUAAUAAAUAAGACUAGUUACAGUUAAAAGAUACAUUCAUAUAAAGGUCUUUAAGUUCAUUUUGAUUGUAAAAUAUCUGUGAUCAGAGAUAAAAGAGAAUAAGAAGCCGUGUUUGUGUAACCUAACCUGUCACUUGUUAUGUCAAUCAUUUCAUUCCUGUUUUACCUUUGGUUAUUUGGGAUCUCACGAGCCAAUUGGAGUCGCUGUGUAAGGGGCGGGACUAGUGGCACAGGUUAGUGUGGGGAGUAGUGCGCACAUGGAAAAGAGAGACGCUAUCGAUCAGAGCUAAAGAGAGGAGGCAUCGUUCGUGUGGGAAGCAUUUAAGUUUAAUCCUGGAGGUCGACUACCCGUGGUCCUGAUAUAAACUUCUGUGUGACCUGCAAGAGGGAGACGGACGUUGGAGAGAGAGAGAGAGAGACGGAUUUCCAACCGAUGACCCUGCUGUACUCUGCUGUACUCUGCUGUACUGUGCUGUACUCUGCUGUACUGUGCUGUACGAUACUGUCGUGCUAUUCUGCGUUUGGAUGCGUCGGGAAGAGCCCUGCUGCUGCUGUAUCUUUUCUUGUGACUUCGCCAUUGCCUCGUGUGUGAUCGGAUUCCCACCCGCCAUUUUCAUUAUCACCGUGAGACUUUUUCAUCCACAUUCUGCCCUACUAACAAACCCCUGGAUUCGUGAGUACUAACAUACACAUGCACGUGCUUUUAUUUUGUGCUCAGCUUUGAGUGAAGCGGCCAUUACAGUUUUUAGGCCACACCGCACACGAGCUUCAAUAAACAGGCCUGCAACGGGUUAAAAGCUCUUUUAAGUGGGUUUCAUCUGAAUGUGUGUG